rnacentral:lncRNA from 1 species
AGGGAAGUCAACACCCGCAGAGUGGGUCACGUGAUCUGGCUUUGUGCCUAGUGCCCUUGGGGCCCCAAGUCCCCUCAUCCUCACUUCUCUCUUCUGUAAUGCCCUGGUCUCUGCCAGCCUCCCAUGCUAGGUAUAGCUCUGGGAGGAGUGAGACCGCCUUGUCCUUGUUCCUGUGACAUGAGUGAGUAAAUGUCCUCUGAGAAACGCUAUCACCCAGCUUGUUUUCAUCUUUCAGUUUUUAUCUUCUGCUUCUUUCUCUUACCUCUGAGCCCUUCUCCCUAGAGGAGAUGAUCCCCCUGUCUGGGGACUGUAUCCAACAGAAAACUCUUCCUCAGAACUCAUCCAGACUAUUACCAUCAGAUCUGGGAAGGACAGUGAUAUUUGAAACGCAAAGCAGGUAAAAGAUGUUGCUAAGCCCUGUCUGCCCUAGAGCAUUGGUAAGCCUGGGACACCUCCGUUUUCCCUGAGCCCUGGGGUGGAGUGUGGGUCCUUACUUCAAAUGCCUACGUGUCUGUGGAAUGAAUAACAUUCAUCCCCUUGGCCUGUCCACCCUGAUGAGUGGUCAUUAAAACCACUCUUAGUAGUUAUUAAAAUAAUUGCUGGGCUCUUGAAAAUGUUGCCUGGCUGUCUGCUGUGGCACAGGAUUGCUCACUGAAGACCCCAUGACUGCUGGCACAGCCCCCUGCCCCCCCCAGUAAUCCCAAUCCCACAGCUCCCUUGAGGCUGGGGUGAAUUUUGUAUUCUUCUGGUUUCCAUAGAUGGGAGCUUGGCCAAAGCUGUCAUUAAACAGAAGUGAAGAUAAAGCCCAUCUCAUGGAAUCCAGAAGGUGUAGGCAUUUACUGCUCUUCACAGAAGCUCUCUUGAAUUUCUAUAUAUCUCGACUCUACUUCUUCAAGACUAGUGCAUACCAGACGGGGCUGUUGUGAUCACUAGCUCAGUGGUUCUCAAACUUUGGAAUAUCCCAGUCAAAUGAGGGCUCAUUAAGAUGCAGACUGCUGGGUCUCACCUUCAUAGUUUCUCAUUCAGCUCAUCAGGGAUGGGUCUGAGAAUCUGUUCUCUAGCAACUUUACAAGACACUGAGCCUGCUGGUCCAGGAACUUCCCCUUUGAGAACCACCUCUCUAGCUUUACACUUUCUUGAAUCAGACAUCCAGGAAUUCAAGGAAACCUUAGCAUACCUGCCCUUCACCCUGAACCCUGGUUAUUUUACCUGUCAAAUGGGAGCAUUGCUGCUCAGGGUUGUUGUGAGGCCCUGGACUAGGGCCUGGUGAGCAACAAGUGAGUUCAGCUCACAUGCUGGAACAACUAGGCUGUGAGGCAGUUAAUGGACUUGUUAACCACAGUAACUGACGUUUCCCAUCCUUGCAGCAUGGAUGCGUACCCUCCCACAUCAAUCAGGGAAUAUCUUGACCAACCUGUUUCUAACCUGGCCCUGCCUGACCAAGCCUGACCUUUGGGGCUGUAUCUCUGAAAAGUGCUGCAUGACCUUUCUGCAGUUACAGACCAUGGGACAAGAAACUGACCUUUCUUUUCUUUUGAAAAAUACUCCCAUUUUUCACAGAGACUCUGAUCCCAGUACCCAGCAUUCUAGAGCAUAAGAGGGAGGGCAGGCAGAACUGGGGUUGCUUCUCAUGCCAUGGUAGCUGACACCUUUUGUACUAAGGAGACUCUGGGGUUCCUUACACAAUAAACUGUUGGCUUGCUAAUCUGGUGUCACAUUUCUUGGCAGACCUUCCUCUCCAUGGGUCUCAGUGACCUUACACCCUGCCCUUUCCCUAAUUCACAGAGCAAAUUUAUCUGUAUUCAGGGAUGGGCAGAACUUGGCAGUUCCAGAUUCAUUUUAGGAAAUGCUUAGAAAAAUGAGCAGUGAACAAUGAAUCUUACCUUUUGAGAGCCCCUUGACUUUGUGGCUGGUGCCUGGGCUUUGGGGUCAGAACAAACAGGAGCUGGGAUCCCAGUUUCCCUGGUUACUGUCUCUGAGACCUUGGGCAGGUUACCUCGCCUCACUGGUCCUGUUUCCUUUCCUGGACACUGGAAUUCUAUUUCUUCCUUUGCAGGGAGUAGGGCUGCACAAACUAGGAAGGGGUGAGUUAAAUGAAUAACAGAAAUGGUUGCCUGACUCCUUCCAGCCCCUUCCCCUACUCUGUCGUUGGCUGCAGAGGCAACCAGCCUUUCUUGCAUCCUCACUGGAAAAUUGGAGGGGGAAGUUUUUGGUAGAGUACUCCACAGCCAAGGCAAUGGAUGCUGCAGUUAUGUUUUCAAAACAUUCGUCUUGUCAGGGUGAUGGGGGAAACACCUGUAUCCUUACCUGCUAUAUAUUUACUGAAUCCUGUGCCACAGGGUGAGCAUCAUAGCUACUGCCUGCCUCCCUAAAAGCCUGCAGUUUAGCUCCCCCAUCUGGAAAUAGCUGAGAAAACCUCAUUUAAGGAAGGAGGGCACCAGCAGCCUCAGUGCCUCCUUCUGGUGAGGUACUGAAUUAACCCUGUUAUGAUAGUAUACCCUAGAGUUAAUGAUCAAACUAACCACCGCCCCCCCCCCCCA